rnacentral:miRNA from 1 species
GAUGGGCCUUGGCCAGGGGUUG